UGCUCUUCUUGGAUGAGUUGCGAACGGGUGAGUAACGCGUAGGUAACCUGCCUUGUAGCGGGGGAUAACUAUUGGAAACGAUAGCUAAUACCGCAUAACAAUGGAUGACACAUGUCAUUUAUUUGAAAGGGGCAAUUGCUCCACUACAAGAUGGACCUGCGUUGUAUUAGCUAGUAGGUGAGGUAAUGGCUCACCUAGGCGACGAUACAUAGCCGACCUGAGAGGGUGAUCGGCCACACUGGGACUGAGACACGGCCCAGACUCCUACGGGAGGCAGCAGUAGGGAAUCUUCGGCAAUGGGGGCAACCCUGACCGAGCAACGCCGCGUGAGUGAAGAAGGUUUUCGGAUCGUAAAGCUCUGUUGUAAGUCAAGAACGGGUGUGAGAGUGGAAAGUUCACACUGUGACGGUAGCUUACCAGAAAGGGACGGCUAACUACGUGCCAGCAGCCGCGGUAAUACGUAGGUCCCGAGCGUUGUCCGGAUUUAUUGGGCGUAAAGCGAGCGCAGGCGGUUUGAUAAGUCUGAAGUUAAAGGCUGUGGCUCAACCAUAGUUCGCUUUGGAAACUGUCAAACUUGAGUGCAGAAGGGGAGAGUGGAAUUCCAUGUGUAGCGGUGAAAUGCGUAGAUAUAUGGAGGAACACCGGUGGCGAAAGCGGCUCUCUGGUCUGUAACUGACGCUGAGGCUCGAAAGCGUGGGGAGCGAACAGGAUUAGAUACCCUGGUAGUCCACGCCGUAAACGAUGAGUGCUAGGUGUUGGAUCCUUUCCGGGAUUCAGUGCCGCAGCUAACGCAUUAAGCACUCCGCCUGGGGAGUACGACCGCAAGGUUGAAACUCAAAGGAAUUGACGGGGGCCCGCACAAGCGGUGGAGCAUGUGGUUUAAUUCGAAGCAACGCGAAGAACCUUACCAGGUCUUGACAUCCCGAUGCUAUUUCUAGAGAUAGAAAGUUACUUCGGUACAUCGGUGACAGGUGGUGCAUGGUUGUCGUCAGCUCGUGUCGUGAGAUGUUGGGUUAAGUCCCGCAACGAGCGCAACCCUUAUUGUUAGUUGCCAUCAUUCAGUUGGGCACUCUAGCGAGACUGCCGGUAAUAAACCGGAGGAAGGUGGGGAUGACGUCAAAUCAUCAUGCCCCUUAUGACCUGGGCUACACACGUGCUACAAUGGUUGGUACAACGAGUUGCGAGUCGGUGACGGCGAGCUAAUCUCUUAAAGCCAAUCUCAGUUCGGAUUGUAGGCUGCAACUCGCCUACAUGAAGUCGGAAUCGCUAGUAAUCGCGGAUCAGCACGCCGCGGUGAAUACGUUCCCGGGCCUUGUACACACCGCCCGUCACACCACGAGAGUUUGUAACACCCGAAGUCGGUGAGGUAACC
rnacentral:rRNA from 1 species